rnacentral:rRNA from 1 species
AUGGAGCCCAUCCCUCUGCUCACGCCGUACAAGAUGGGCCAGUUCGAGCUGUCGCACCGGGUCGUGCUGGCGCCCAUGACGCGGCAGCGCGCCUACGGCGGCGUGCCGCAGCCGCACGCCGCCCUCUACUACUCCCAGCGCGCCACCCCCGGCGGCCUCCUCAUCUCCGAGGCCACGCGCGUCGCGCCGGCAAGGCAGGACGAGGAGCCGGCCUCGUUCAGGGACAUGCCGGGGGUCUGGGCGCCGGAGCAGGUCGAGGCGUGGAGGCCCGUGGUCGACGCCGUGCACGCCGAGGGCGCCGUCUUCUUCUGCCAGCUCUGGCACGCCGCGGCCGCCCCCGGCGACGCCGUCAGGGAAAGGCAGCAGGUGAGCCCGCAGAUGAGCUAUGAUGGCCGCCGCGAGGAGCUCACGUCGCCGAGGAGGGUGGCAGCUGAGGACGCGCCCGGCGUCGUCGACGCGUUCAGACGCGCCGCCAGGAACGCCAUCGAUGCCGGCUUCGACGGCGUCGAGCUCCAAGGCACCAACGGCUACUUCGUCGUCGACGGCGGUGGCCCGGAGAGUCGCUGCCGGUUCGCGCUGGAGGUGGUGGACGCCGUGGCGCGGGAGAUCGGCGGCCACCGCCUGGGCCUGCGACUGGACCAGUUCACCGCAGAGCCGGACGAGCACGCGCUGGCGCUCCAUGUCGUCAGCCGGCUCAACGACCUCGGCGUGCUCUACUGCCACAUGAUCGAGCCCAAGGUGGACGGCCGGCGGCGCGUGUCCCGGCGGCUGCUGCCUUACAGGGAGGCGUUCGGCGGCACGUUCAUCGCCAGCGGCGGGUACGGGCGGGAGGAGGGCGACGCGGCCGUCGGCGAGGGGUACGCCGACCUGGUGGCGUACGGGCGGCUCUUCCUGGCGAACCCGGACCUGCCGAGGAGGUUCGAGCUCGGCGCGCCGCUCAACGACUGCGUCAGCGCCACCUUCUACGGCGCCGGCGCCGGCGCCGCCCACCCCGCCGUCGGAUACACUGAUUACCCGUUCCUAGAAUGA